AUUGGACGCUGGCGGCAUGCUUUACACAUGCAAGUCGAACGGCAGCGCGGGCUUCGGCCUGGCGGCGAGUGGCGAACGGGUGAGUAAUACAUCGGAACGUGCCCAGUAGUGGGGGAUAGCUCGGCGAAAGCCGGAUUAAUACCGCAUACGACCUGAGGGUGAAAGCGGGGGAUCUUCGGACCUCGCGCUAUUGGCGCUGCCGAUGGCAGAUUAGCUAGUUGGUGGGGUAAAGGCCUACCAAGGCGACGAUCUGUAGCUGGUCUGAGAGGACGACCAGCCACACUGGGACUGAGACACGGCCCAGACUCCUACGGGAGGCAGCAGUGGGGAAUUUUGGACAAUGGGCGAAAGCCUGAUCCAGCAAUGCCGCGUGUGUGAUGAAGGCCUUCGGGUUGUAAAGCACUUUUGGCGGGAACGAAAAGGACUGUGCCAAUACCACGGUUCGAUGACGGUACCCGCAGAAUAAGCACCGGCUAACUACGUG
rnacentral:rRNA from 1 species